rnacentral:rRNA from 1 species
UGAGGAAUAUUGGUCAAUGGGCGGAAGCCUGAACCAGCCAAGUCGCGUGAGGGAAGACGGUCCUAUGGAUUGUAAACCUCUUUUGCAGGGGAGCGAGGCACGGUACGUGUACCGUGAAGGAGAGUACCCUGAGAAAAAGCAUCGGCUAACUCCGUGCC